rnacentral:rRNA from 1 species
AGUGAACGCUGGCGGUAGGCCUAACACAUGCAAGUCGAACGGCAGCACAGUAAGAGCUUGCUCUUACGGGUGGCGAGUGGCGGACGGGUGAGGAAUACAUCGGAAUCUACUUUUUCGUGGGGGAUAACGUAGGGAAACUUACGCUAAUACCGCAUACGACCUACGGGUGAAAGCAGGGGAUCUUCGGACCUUGCGCGAUUGAAUGAGCCGAUGUCGGAUUAGCUAGUUGGCGGGGUAAAGGCCCACCAAGGCGACGAUCCGUAGCUGGUCUGAGAGGAUGAUCGGCCACACUGGAACUGAGACACGGUCCAGACUCCUACGGGAGGCAGCAGUGGGGAAUAUUGGACAAUGGGCGCAAGCCUGAUCCAGCCAUACCGCGUGGGUGAAGAAGGCCUUCGGGUUGUAAAGCCCUUUUGUUGGGAAAGAAAAGCAGCAGGCUAAUACCCCGCUGUUCUGACGGUACCCAAAGAAUAAGCACCGGCUAACUUCGUG